rnacentral:lncRNA from 1 species
UCUUCCCUCCUUGGUAGCUCUAGCUGUGGUAGGGCCCUCGGCUGAUCCUCCCUACCUUCAGGCCAGCGUCGGAUGAAUCUGUCGAGCCGACCUCGUCUGAUGAGCUCCUCAAUCUCAUCUUGGAGCUGAAUACACUCCUCCAUGUCAUGGCCGUGGUCACGAUGAUAGAGGUAGAACUUGUUAGGGUUGUGCUUUUUAGGG